rnacentral:rRNA from 1 species
GACGAACGCUGGCGGCGUGCCUAACACAUGCAAGUCGAGCGCGAAUGGAGCAAUCCUAGUAGAGCGGCGCACGGGUGCGUAACACGUGGGUAAUCUGCCUCAAAGCCCGGGAUAACCUGCCGAAAGGCAAGCUAAUACCGGAUAAGCCUACGGACUCUUCGGGGUCUGAAGGAAAAGGUGGCCUCUGUAUACAAGCUAUCACUUUGAGAUGAGCCCGCGGCCCAUCAGCUCGUUGGCGGGGUAACGGCCCACCAACGGCAACGACGGGUAGGCUGGUCUGAGAGGACGAUCAGCCACACUGGAAC